rnacentral:rRNA from 1 species
GAUGAACGCUGGCGGUAUGCUUAACACAUCCAAGUCGAACGGACUCUUCGGAGUUAGUGGCGGACGGGUGAGUAACGCGUGAGAAUCUGGCUUUGGGUUCGGGACAACCACUGGAAACGGUGGCUAAUACCGGAUGUGCCGAGAGGUAAAAGAGAAAUUGCCUGAAGAUGAGCUCGCGUCUGAUUAGCUAGUUGGUGAGGUAAAGGCUCACCAAGGCAGCGAUCAGUAGCUGGUCUGAGAGGAUGACCAGCCACACUGGGACUGAGACACGGCCCAGACUCCUACGGGAGGCAGCAGUGGGGAAUUGUCCGCAAUGGGCGAAAGCCUGACGGAGCAAUACCGCGUGAGGGAAGAAGGCUCUUGGGUUGUAAACCUCUUUUCUUAGGGAAGAACAAAAUGACGGUACCUAAGGAAUCAGCAUCGGCUAACUCCGUG